rnacentral:rRNA from 1 species
AUACGUAGGUGACAAGCGUUAUCCGGAUUUAUUGGGUUUAAAGGGUGCGUAGGCGGAUGAUUAAGCGUGAGGUGAAAUGCCACUGCUCAACAGUGGAACUGCCUCGCGAACUGGUUGUCUUGAAUGCUCCUGCCGUGGGAGGAAUGUGUGGUGUAGCGGUGAAAUGCAUAGAGAUCACACAGAACACCGAUUGCGAAGGCAUCUCACGAAGGGGUGAUUGACGCUGAGGCACGAAAGCGUGGGGAUCAAACAGGAUUAGAUACCCUGGUAGUCCACGCAGUAAACGAUGAUAACUAACCGCUGGGUCGUAGUGAUUCAGUGGCCAAGCGAAAGCGAUAAGUUAUCCACCUGGGGAGUACGACCGCAAGGUUGAAACUCAAAUGAAUUGGCGGGG